UAGGCGGUAUUCUGAAACUGAUCAUGUUAUGGAAUGGACAGCUUAUUGGUUUUGUGUGCUUCAUACUAUGUGGUCCAAGAAUGCUAAAGUAACGAAGUGGUGGGUGCUUGCGAAGCCAUGUCUGAUGAACUGCGGGCAGGGGAUAUGUAAUAAAUAGGAUUGAUAAUGUGAAGGCGGGGUUGUUUGCUGCAGUGUUUUGUAAUUAAUUUUCAGUAAUGAUAUUUACCUGGAUGCCUUUUGAAAAACACAUAUAUUUG
rnacentral:lncRNA from 1 species